rnacentral:rRNA from 1 species
CACUCCUGCGGGAGGCAGCAGUGGGGAAUUUUGGACAAUGGGCGAAAGCCUGAUCCAGCAAUGCCGCGUGCAGGAUGAAGGCCUUCGGGUUGUAAACUGCUUUUGUACGGAACGAAAAAGCUCCUUCUAAUACAGGGGGCCCAUGACGGUACCGUAAGAAUAAGCACCGGCUAACUACGUGCCAGCAGCCGCGGUAAUACGUAGGGUGCGAGCGUUAAUCGGAAUUACUGGGCGUAAAGCGUGCGCAGGCGGUUAUGUAAGACAGAUGUGAAAUCCCCGGGCUCAACCUGGGAACUGCAUUUGUGACUGCAUGGCUAGAGUACGGUAGAGGGGGAUGGAAUUCCGCGUGUAGCAGUGAAAUGCGUAGAUAUGCGGAGGAACACCGAUGGCGAAGGCAAUCCCCUGGACCUGUACUGACGCUCAUGCACGAAAGCGUGGGGAGCAAACAGGAUUAGAAACCCUUGUAGUCCCAUGAU